rnacentral:rRNA from 1 species
AUGAACGCUGGCGGCGUGCCUAAUACAUGCAAGUCGAGCGCACGGACGAGAAGCUUGCUUCUCUGAUGUUAGCGGCGGACGGGUGAGUAACACGUGGAUAACCUACCUAUAAGACUGGGAUAACUUCGGGAAACCGGAGCUAAUACCGGAUAAUAUUUUGAACCGCAUGGUUCAAAAGUGAAAGUCGGUCUUGCUGUCACUUAUAGAUGGAUCCGCGCUGCAUUAGCUAGUUGGUAAGGUAACGGCUUACCAAGGCAACGAUGCAUAGCCGACCUGAGAGGGUGAUCGGCCACACUGGAACUGAGACACGGUCCAGACUCCUACGGGAGGCGGCAGUAGGGAAUCUUCCGCAAUGGGCGAAAGCCUGACGGAGCAACGCCGCGUGAGUGAUGAAGGUCUUCGGAUCGUAAAACUCUGUUAUUAGGGAAGAACAUAUGUGUAAGUAACUGUGCACAUCUUGACGGUACCUAAUCAGAAAGCCACGGCUAACUACGUG